CGCGUACGAACAAAUCUCCCAAAAAACACAACAAAAAGGACGACUAGGAGAGAUCUUUUGUUUUGACAAUGUUGGUUACUAUGAUUAUAAAAAAAAAUCAUGAUGUUGGAUUAUGGUUGCUAAGGUAUCACUACGUCAUGAUCACAGGAACUAAUUGUGCAUUUUCACUUUUAAUUUCAUUUAAGAAGUAUGACAAAUCAUCUAACUUUUAACGUACUGUCUCCCUCUCCCAGCAAGGCUACGAAUAAGGCACGCUGGGUGGAAGCCACCGUUUGAAAAGGAUGUUGUUGUACCCCCAUUUGCUAAGAAAACACACGCGCUACAACACGAACGCAAGUGGCUGAGUGGCAAACCAACACCAAUGCCUCAUAUAUUGAACACUAAACAACGCAUUAAACAUGGAACACACCCAUCUUCGGUUCUGUGUGUCUCCUUUACAGCGUCACUUUUUCUUUCCGUGCACCGCGCGGCCAAGCACAACCGGGUCCGCGAUUCAUAAUAUCGGUUUAAAAUUCUAAAAUAAGAACGCUCUAAUGUUUCGGCUAGUGUUUUGUCAACGCGUUCGCCAAACUGAAUAUCAACCGGGGCCCAGAGUGAGAGAACCAAGCGCAUGCACCUACCGCUCGCGGUGCACUGACAGAGCGGUCUUUUACACACAAAACCACACUCACAGCCGGCUGUGGAAAUGUCCCCACUCGUGGCAUUAGCUCCCCCUGUUUGUUUUCCGGUGGCCAUGUGCAGAACGAAUCGUGGCUUCAUUCCUCCACCAUUGUUUGUAUGCUUGUCUCCACCGACGAGAUGCAGACUUCCGUCCGGGGAUAUUUGCAAACGAUCGUGCGGUCAACGUCGCGAGAAUUAGAAUCGCAGUGUAAAUCAAUGCUGAUGGGACCAAAACAGGAUUUUUUGCCAUUUGCUUUACCCAAGAAACAUUGGUAAGAUCUAUGCAAACAGACCAGAACACACGGCUGUCAAUGGAGUCACAGAUUGAAACUGGCCGCGAUGAGCUAAAGGUAGGUUUUUGCCUAGUAACGAAUAAAUGCCUUCGGGGCGGCCCGGUGGUGCAUGUGAAAAACGGCGCCCGUCCACACGGCAGGGACCGGGUUCAAAUCCCAUCCAGACCGUCCCCCCGUAGCAUGGACUGACUAUCCUGCUACGUAGUAAAAUAAGUCUUGAUACGGCCAGGCCGUUCUAACCGAGCAAAAAAAAAAAAAAAUAAUAAAUGCCUUCGCUGGAGCACGGUAUCGCGCGAAACCGUAAUUUAGGUGUAGGUUUUAUCAUCAGGGUAAAGAUCAAUUCCUAUCAUCCACCCUACAUGGGUGGGACAAAACGCCCAGAAUAACCCUCUAUCGGUGGUAACUGUCUGAGGGUGGCCGACAAUCUACUCCACUAUCAAGAACUAAGCUUUUACCUUAAUUACAAAACUCCCUACAGACUUACUAUCGUGACGAAGUUAAAAAUGCUUCGGUUAUCGUUACCGACAGUCACACCUUCCCGGUAUAUAGCGAGAAAAUAGUUUUUUUUUUUAAAUAAAAUAUAUCCUUUUUUUCUUUUGGACACAUUUUGGUACAAAUAUUAAGAUUUCAAGUAAAAAUUUAAAACCUUUUUCCAGAGCAAACAAAUCCACGUGAAGGAAUCUACAAUCCAGUUUGUAAUAAUAAAGUCGUGUAAAUUGUAUAUUUUGCUUUAAAAGCAUACACAUUAUUAGUUAAACAAUUAAAGCCUUAUUCUGGCUACCCUUCAAGGUACGCAAAUGUUUCCAUUUAUUUAUUGAAUUACUUUAUUAAUAGCACACCACACCUUUUGAUCUUGCUGCAGCAUAACCAAGACGUAUUCCCCAUGUGCCAUGUUUCCGGUGCUGACUCAAGGCUCUAGGGUGCGAUGUUUGUAUACCCAACAAAUUGAGUUAUGAAUUCUUAUCAUACACCACUCAGCGUCAAAGAUGCAUCUAAAAUCAGCUAGUCAACCACAAAUAGAAGGGUGGGAGCGUUAGAUAAACUUCCUCUUUUGAACGAUGGACACCCUCUAAUUCCACCCAUAGGCAAUUGUUGAAAUUUCUAAUAUGACUAUCGAUCAAAACUCAACGUCGUGCGGAUGGUAAGAAAAAUACAUUAAUCAUCCGUGGGCUUGUCCUAUACACAUAUGGUUUUUCGUUACACGGUAUCCUUUUUUGCGUUGUGGAUCCUUUACGCGAUCGUUUCGCUUUCCCAUGCGGCUGAUCUUGCGUCCUCCAUUUGCGUGUCUUCUUGGGUGCAGUUUUGCAGCGAACACGUUUUUUUGAUACCAGACAAGAAACAUCUGUUUCCCAUUUGUGGUGUGGAUCACAUUUUUGGGGGAAAUGGCAGGUCUUUUAUAAUCCAGUUCCGUUCAUUUGCUUUUCAGUCAAAUGCACAAACAAGUUUCUUUUUGCGUUUACAAAAUGGAGAAUUUGUUUUAACUGGAGAAUGUGGGAAAUGUGAAGAAAAU